rnacentral:tRNA from 1 species
ACCUGGCUGGCUCAGUUAGUAGAGCAUGUGAUUCUUAAUCUCAGGGUCAUGAGUUCAAGCACCAUGUAGGGUG